rnacentral:rRNA from 1 species
UACGGGGGGAGCAAGCGUUGUUCGGAUUUACUGGGCGUAAAGGGCGCGUAGGCGGUCGUGACAAGUCACUUGUGAAAUCUCCGGGCUUAACUCGGAACGGUCAAGUGAUACUGUCGGACUAGAGUACAGAAGGGGCAACUGGAAUUCUCGGUGUAGCGGUGAAAUGCGUAGAUAUCAGGAGGAACACCGGUGGCGAAGGCGGGUCUCUGGGCCGAUAUUGACGCUGAGGAGCGAAAGCGUGGGGAGCGAACAGG